GAUGAACGCUGGCGGCGUGCCUAAUACAUGCAAGUCGAGCGAACGGACGGGAAGCUUGCUUUUCUGAUGUUAGCGGCGGACGGGUGAGUAACACGUGGAUAACCUACCUAUAAGACUGGGAUAACUUCGGGAAACCGGAGCUAAUACCGGAUAAUAUUUUGAACCGCAUGGCUCAAAAGUGAAAGACGGUCUUGCUGUCACUUAUAGAUGGAUCCGCGCUGCAUUAGCUAGUUGGUAAGGUAACGGCUUACCAAGGCAACGAUGCAUAGCCGACCUGAGAGGGUGAUCGGCCACACUGGAACUGAGACACGGUCCAGACUCCUACGGGAGGCAGCAGUAGGGAAUCUUCCGCAAUGGGCGAAAGCCUGACGGAGCAACGCCGCGUGAGUGAUGAAGGUCUUCGGAUCGUAAAACUCUGUUAUUAGGGAAGAACAUAUGUGUAAGUAACUGUGCACAUCUUGACGGUACCUAAUCAGAAAGCCACGGCUAACUACGUG
rnacentral:rRNA from 1 species